rfam:Oryza rufipogon genomic scaffold, chr01
CUAUAGUAAGCUACUGAGUUUCCGUGGCUAACUUUGAUCAUCCGUCUUAUUUAAAAUUUUUUAAAAAAAAAUUAAAAACAUAAGUCACGUAUAAAGUACUAUUCAUGUUUUAUCAUCUUAUAAUAACAAAAAUACUAAUUAAAAAAAAUUUAAAUAAGACGAACAAUUAAAGUUGGGUGUAGAAACUUAUGGUUGCAUUUAAA